rnacentral:rRNA from 1 species
UACGUAGGGGGCAAGCGUUGUCCGGAUUUAUUGGGCGUAAAGAGCGUGUAGGCGGUUAGGUAGGUCCGUUGUGAAAACUCGAGGCUCAACCUCGAGACGCCGAUGGAAACCAUCUAACUAGAGUCCGGAAGAGGAGAGUGGAAUUCCUGGUGUAGCGGUGAAAUGCGCAGAUAUCAGGAGGAACACCUGUGGCGAAGGCGGCCAUCUGGACGACGAUUGACGCUGAGACGCGAAAGCGUGGGUAGCAAACAGG